UAUACAAAUGAUAAUUUUCAAUUCCUAAAACGGACCUAUUUCUUGUAACGUUUGUUCAACUGAACAAACAGAGCUGAAAAGAAUUUUAACAUCGCUUCAUAUGCCUUUUUCAUUCCACAUCAGAGCUUUGAUUAGUUAAGAUCACCUAUGAUACAUUGUCUCUUAUAUGGGGGUGCAGUUGAAAAAUGUGAACUCUGCAACAUUGGAGAAAUGAUUUAGACUACCAGUGAACAUCUAUAAAAAAAAAGUGGAUAUUAAGACAAUGAAACAGACAUGGUAAGUUUAAGAAAAACAACAAAUUAACUGUACUUCAACUUCUUCAGUGAUGCUAAUUUUGCAGCGAAUAAGGUGAAAUGCAGAAACAUGUCCGCUGACAACAUGGAGAAAUCUCACAAUAUUUCAUGUUUUGAUUAAUUUUGCCUACAUUAGUUUUGGUCUGUUAGUGGUUUGGUUCAGAUUCACCACAGAAGAUGGCAAGAUGCUGACAGGCAGAUUUGGUCCAAUUUUGUCAUAAAUGAUGGCAUUUUUACAAUACAUUCUGUAAGCUCAAGAAAAAAUAAUUCUUGUAAUCAUAUAAAAUGCCCAUCCAUUGCUUUUUAAGAUAAUUCACGCCUUUGAUCAGAUAAAAUGUAAAAAUUGUUACAAUACAAACCUUUACUAGAAUAUAAUGAAUGUUCAAAGAAUAAACGAUACAAAAAACUUAUUAAUGAACUGAAUUUAUUAACAAGAAAAUAAAUGAGUAAUAAACCCUAAUGAUUCUCUCAGAACAAAGUCUUCAUUUGAGAAAUACAAAUUAACAGUAAAAACAUAACAAUUUAGGCAGAGUUGUAUAAAUGUGCCCUGUUUUUUGUUUUUUAAUUACAAAAUAUUGCAUUUAAAAAAAAUUUGUCAUUAACAUAACAAAUUUAAUUUUAAAAAAUACCAGAAUUAUUGCAGAGGACAAGUGUUUGAACAAAAAAAUAUAUACAUAAAGACAAUCUAUCUGACUAGUUUUUUGUUUUGUUUUUUAAUUAUCUCUUAAACACAAGGGCACGUUUUAACAAUAUGACUUGAUAAUACAAAACUAAAUACAGUUUAUACAUUUUGGCACAUUAUUUCAAUGUAGUCUACAGGACAUUGACCUCUUAUUCAAUAAUACAAAAAGCUGAACUGGAAAAGAAAACAUUGCGUAUUUUUAUUGACUAGAGACUUGUUUCGUUGAUAAAAAAAAUGCCACAUGCUAAAAACCACUGUUUUAUCAUUCCUGAAAGACUCCUUUAUAAAGGCACAUAAUUUUUACACUUUGUUUUAGUCUUGGUUUUUAUUGUAUCACACUUAUAUUUGAUUGCUUUCCUGGCCAAUUAAGCCAAAUUAAGACAUUAAAAUAAAAAGGAAUGUCAAAUUAUUAUAUUUUUACACUAAAUAUCCUUGAUUAAAAUCAAACUAUGCUGAUAAUAUUCAUCUUCACCCUUAUUGUCAUAAAAGUUGUAAACAACAUUACUUUAAUCAAGAAUAAAAUUGUAAAUUAUUAAUUUUUAUCAGUUAUUUUUUAAUUACAUAAUGAAAAAGACAUAACAGCAAAAUUAAAUUAUUUUAUUUUUUUAUGUUGCUCCUUCAAAUAUAUUAUAUAUUGUCACAAAAAAUAGUACUAAAAUUUAUGCUGAGCAGUGUGUUUUUUAAUUAAAACCUCAAUUGAAAACCACAAUAAAAAUUAUUGAAAUCGAUUAAAUUAUAAAGAGUACAAACCUUGACAGUUUGAGAUUUUUUUUUUUAAAUAAUGUUUAAAAAAGUUACAUGUUGUUUUCAAUUAGUAAACCUUAAAAAUUGUGUUUACCAAAUUAGUAUAAAAAGUACUUUUCAAUAGGUAAAAAGUAAAAAUUUAAAUAUCAAUCAAACGGCAAGAUUCGCCCCUUUUGAACUUUUUGCAUCUUUGGUCUCAUUUACACCUUAUAAUAAAAUUAGAAAUAUCUAAACAGUUAAACGGCACAAAGGAAAAUGCA
rnacentral:lncRNA from 1 species